rnacentral:rRNA from 1 species
ACAGAGGGUGCAAGCGUUAAUCGGAAUUACUGGGCGUAAAGCGUGCGUAGACGGUAGCGUAAGUCGGGUGUGAAAGCCCCGGGCUCAACCUGGGAAUUGCAUUCAAGACUGCCUUGCUCGAGUUUGGUAGAGGGAAGCGGAAUUCCAGGUGUAGCGGUGAAAUGCGUAGAUAUCUGGAGGAACAUCAGUGGCGAAGGCGGCUUCCUGGCCCAAAACUGACGCUGAGGUGCGAAAGCGUGGGGAGCAAACAGGA